rnacentral:rRNA from 1 species
AUUGAACGCUGGCGGCAUGCCUUACACAUGCAAGUCGAACGGCAGCGCGGACUUCGGUCUGGCGGCGAGUGGCGAACGGGUGAGUAAUACAUCGGAACGUACCCUGUUGUGGGGGAUAACUAGUCGAAAGAUUAGCUAAUACCGCAUACGACCUGAGGGUGAAAGUGGGGGACCGCAAGGCCUCACGCAGCAGGAGCGGCCGAUGUCUGAUUAGCUAGUUGGUGGGGUAAAGGCCCACCAAGGCGACGAUCAGUAGCUGGGCUGAGAGGACGAUCAGCCACACUGGGACUGAGACACGGACCAGACUCCUACGGGAGGCAGCAGUGGGGAAUUUUGGACAAUGGGGGCAACCCUGAUCCAGCAAUGCCGCGUGUGUGAAGAAGGCCUUCGGGUUGUAAAGCACUUUUGUCCGGAAAGAAAUCGCGCUGGUUAAUACCUGGCGUGGAUGACGGUACCGGAAGAAUAAGCACCGGCUAACUACGUGCCAGCCGCCGCCGUAA